rnacentral:rRNA from 1 species
CGUAAUUUGACCGUGCAAAGGUAGCAUAAUCAAUAGUCUUUUAAUUGGAGGCUUGGAUGAAAGGUUUGACGGAUGAGGAGCUGUCUCUUUAGUUGUGUUGAACUUAACGUUUGUGUGAAAAGGCAUUAAUGGUUUAGGGGGACGAUAAGACCCUAUAAAACUUAACAUGUGUGGUGUUGGCUUUUGGAGUUGUUCUGUAAUUAUAAGGUGACCGGGUGUGUUUUGCUGGGGCGGCAUGAAUAUAAUUUGUAACUGUUUUAGGAAGAAAAUAUUGAUUAAUAGAUUUUGGUCCUUUAUUAAGGAGUUAAGAGUAAGUUACUUUAGGGAUAACAGCGUAAUUUUUCUUGAGAGUUCUUAUCGAAGGAAGUAGUUGUGACCUCGAUGUUGAAUUAAAUUUUCCCUUUGG